UACAGAGGGUGCAAGCGUUAUUCGGAAUUAUUGGGCGUAAAGGGCGCGUAGGCGGCAUGGCAAGUGGGUGGUGAAAUCCCUCGGCUUAACCGAGGAACUGCCGUCCAAACUGCUUCGCUUGAGACCGGGAGAGGUGAGUGGAAUUCCCAGUGUAGCGGUGAAAUGCGUAGAUAUCAGGAGGAACACCGGUGGCGAAGGCGGGUCUCUGGGCCGAUACUGACACUGAGGAGCGAAAGCGUGGGGAGCGAACAGG
rnacentral:rRNA from 1 species